UACGUAGGGUGCGAGCGUUGUCCGGAAUUAUUGGGCGUAAAGAGCUCGUAGGCGGUUUGUCGCGUCGACUGUGAAAACCCGAGGCUUAACCUCGGGCCUGCAGUCGAUACGGGCAGACUAGAGUUCGGUAGGGGAGACUGGAAUUCCUGGUGUAGCGGUGAAAUGCGCAGAUAUCAGGAGGAACACCGGUGGCGAAGGCGGGUCUCUGGGCCGAUACUGACGCUGAGGCGCGAAAGCGUGGGGAGCGAACAGG
rnacentral:rRNA from 1 species